rnacentral:misc_RNA from 1 species
AUAAAAAAUAGUGAGUUUGAAGUUUCUGUUCGUUGGUCGAGCAGAAACUCUGGAAGAAGGGGGUGACGGUUCCACCCCAGAUGAGCGGAUAAGGGGAUCGAGGCUUCUCGAUUCUGUGCUGCAUGGAUGGUCAGUGAUUCAUUCAGGUGUAUCGAUGUGCCUCUUCAAGGUGUGCCAUAGUCCCAACGCAAACGCUUACGAGCCACAUCAAGUUGCCCCGUAAUAUUCUCAAUAGUACAGUCCAAAAUAUAUAAGCUGUGGAAUAAAAUUAUUUUUCAGAUUUUUACUCAAGUUCUUCAGAUUUUUAGUCAAGUUCUUCAGGUAUGUAAAUUUCGAAGAAAAAAUGGCGCAUUCGCAAUGCAAAUGUUAGAGCACGUGGCUGCACAAUAUUCUCAAU